rnacentral:rRNA from 1 species
AUUAAAAAAGUAUUUUUUUUGCUAGAGUAGUAUUAGUUAAGGUCUUGAAACUCAAAAAAUUUGGCGGUAUUUUAGUCUAUUUAGAGGAACCUGUACUGUAAUCGAUAGUCCACGAUGGAUCUUACUUAAAUUUGUUUUUCAAUUUGUAUACCGCCGUUAUUUGAAAAUUUUAUAAGAAUAAUAAUUUUCAAGAUUUUUAUAAGAAAAUAAAUCAGGUCAAGGUGCAGUUUAUAUUUAAGAUUUUAUGGGUUACAAUAAAUUUAUUUAUACGGAUUAGGUUUUGAAAUUAACUUAUGAAGGUGGAUUUAAUAGUAAAUUUUUAAAGAUAAAGGAAUUGAUU